UGGAGAACUCAGAAAUACAAAUCUGUGCAACAUCUUAAAAUUCCUAGUUUGAUAGCCCUUACAACUCCCUCUGACACACACCGUUUAGGAUUAAAUCCUGAAAAGUAGCGAAUAGUAUUGCCGAUCAGGCCAGGACCAUGUAAAAGUGUAACAUUCCUUCUCCGAGAACAAAUGGAGUUAAUUCUGCCACAAAAGAAAAGAAUGAACUGAUGAACUCGUUCACACUACCCCUGGCCCUCGCUCUUCAACUGUUGGAGAAAACUUCCUUCUAUCGCUGCUCGCAACACAGCAGAACUUGGUUUAAUUCUGUGCGCUAAAAUUUUGCAAACGAGGCCUAAAAUACUGUUAUGUAAGAUAGACUGUUAUGUAGGAUAGACGGAAUCGUUUCAGUAACUUUCUUGAUCAUCUUUAGAAACUCUUUCAACAACAUUGAUAAAAGUCCAGUUUGCCUGCUGAAAUUUCAGAAUCUUGCUCUACUUUACGGAAGGCGCGAAUGUAAAAUCUAUGAAUUGUAAAAAAAGCAAUCAAUGUCAGUUAAGAGUUAAAAUUUGAAUAUGCAUGAUAUGGUCGGUCGAAUAUAAUAUAAUGAAUUGAUCCAAAGCCAGCAGGCUUUUCGCACUGGCCAGUAUUGCUUUUUGAAGGGAAACGCUACAAUGCUCAUCAAGGAGCAAAUCCUGGUUCGCGUAACCAAUAUCAAACGCAUCAUGGAAUCCAUUUUCUGAGAUAGGAUUCACAUUUAAUCAUCAAAACUCUUCUUACUGAUUGUUCAACAGAAUGAGAGUAAGUAGUGGUAGUUUUGAAUUAUUUUCAGACUUUCAAUAUCGAUGGGGUUUGAGAAUAAUUGGGCCUUGGGAACAUAUUUCCAAUCCGGAGUUAUGGCAAAUUACGUGUUAGUAAUAAUGUCAAUGAUUAUAUCUGUGUUCGUGUAUUAAUCUAACUACUGACUUUAUUUGUUUAUCUCAAUAAGA